GCGAGGGGGGCGUGCUGGAUACGACCCUGGGUACCGGGCACGAUACCGCCCUUUGCUUAACCAAAGCAUGCGGCUGGAAGUCAAGACCCACGUUGUACCCACUUAAGGAGACAGCACUUAAUCAAGUACAAAGAAACUUUUAAAAAAGCAUUUAAGUGUUAAUCCAAAGUAAGGGAACAAGAACUAUGUCUUGAACCUUUCUGACUCCUCCUUACCUAGAGGAUAUGCGCCACCAACACCUCCAGCUACACAUCGGCUGCUUCUUGGUGACAUUUUUACAAUAUGCGCACAUAUGCGUAUUGUAAAAAUAUGAUAAAUAUUUGAUCAAAUUCCUGGUCUUCUACAAUAUGCACACAUAUGCAUACUGUAAAAAUAUGAUAAAUAUUUGAUCAAAUUCCUGGUCUUCUACAAUAUGCACACAUAUGCAUAUUUGAAAAAUAUGAUUAUUACAGAACUUUACAAAAACUAUGGGGCUUAUGAAAUAUCUUCAGUAUCUUAGUCCUUAAUUUCUUUUGUGUAACCUAAGGUUUCAUAAAUCAUCACAAAAUUAAAGCAAUGACAGAGUCACAGAAAAUAUGACUGAGUAAAUUAUCAUAGGCACAUGUACGCGUUUAAGAAAAUUUAAAACAGAAGGGGGAUGCAUCUCUAGCUCAAUACAAUCGUUAUACCCUCAUCAAAUCCAAGAGGAAAACCCUCAAAUGCUUUGUUCUCUCCUUAAAUCAAAAGAAUAAAAGCUUUCAGGAGUGUUUUAAUACUGAGUCACUAAUCUGUUUAUAACAGGUUUGCACCACAGCUACUAAGGUUUAUAGUACCUUUAAUUUAUUUUGGGCCGCGCCCUGCGGCUUGCAGGAUCUUAGUUACCUGACCAGGGAUUGAACCCGCACCCUCGGCAGUGAAAGUGCAAAGUCCUAACCACUGGACCGCCAGGUAAUUCCCUACAGUAGCUUUAUUUUUUAAUAACCAAACGUGGGAAGCAGUACAGGUACCCAUCAACUGGUGGUGAAUUAAUAAACACACGCAGAAAAUCGCCCAGCAACGAAAAGGAACAAACUACUGAUAUGUGUAACCGCCAAGGAUGAACCUCAAAAGCACCAGCCAAGGGACAGCAGCCAGACCCAAAGACUGCGACACAGCGCGAUGCCCUAGACGGCGUUCUGGAAAGGCAGAGCCACAGGGGGAGAGAUCAGACCGGUGGCGCCAGGAUUUGGGGUUGGAGGGCAGGGACGGGCUCCAAAAGGCCGCCAGGAACUUUCUGAGGUGAUAGAAAUGCUCUACAUCUCGACCGCAGUGGUGCGUCCAUUUCUCAAAACUCCCUGAACACCUAAAAGGGGUGAAUUUUACCAUGUGUGAGCUAUGCCUCUGUAAACCUUAAAUAUUAGAAAUCUUAGUGGCACAAACAUUCUACAUUAUGGGGAGUGUUUUGUUACAUUUAUCCAAGGCGAAUUUCACCCGUGUUCAAGACUGUCCCACUGCGCUGAGCAAAACCGCCAGGAUGGUCUCCUUGCAGCCCCAGACCCAGGCUGGUCACCAGGCUUUGUCACCGGAGUGGGGUUUUACUAGGUUUCUCCACACCUGGACAUCAGCAUUCCAACUGAGAACUGAAAUACCUUUGCUAAAGUUCUCCUGUUGGUAUUUGCCCUGCUUGUCGUUCAGUUGGUUACUCUCUCCAUGGUUGGUACACAUCUCUGCCACUCCCCGAGAAUGGGAAGCUCUUUGGGAAGGCGAGCACCCCUGCUUCCUUCCACACACGUCAACUCAGCUCCUCCUUUUCCUCAAAAUAAGGCCUUGUAUAUAGCAGGUGUGCAACAGUGUUAAAAUAAAUCUAGUUCUACAACCUGAAACCCUAUCCCCCAAAGUGACUGUCUUUAGAAAGAAGGCCUGCAAAAGAUAAAAGUUAAAUGACAUCAUUAGGGUGGGGCCUUAAUCUGAUAGGGCUGAGGCAUUUAUAAGAGGGAGACGCCAAAGAUCUCUUGGUCCAGCAGGCCAGGACACAGCGAGAAGGCAGCUGCCUGCAAUCCGGGAAGAGGGUUCUCACCAGGAAACAAACUGACUGGCACCGUGAUCUUGGACUUCCUAGACUCCAGAACUUGACCCCAUGAAGUAGCUACAAAGGCACCAGAAGGUCAGAGAAGAUGCUUUGGGUAGUAAUACCCUUGAGAAAACUGCAUUCCAGGGGAUAAAUUAUUGCACCUACUUCAUAAUGCUGCAGUGAGAAUUAAAUAACCUGCAUGAAACACGCAGAAGUAACUGGGCCGACCAAUACGUGAAUAAACGGCAGCUGUUACACGACGGCCCAUUCCACCGGAAAAACGGGGCAGCAGAACGCGCCCCGCCCAGGAGCCUCCCACAGCCCGGUGGGCCCGGUCUCGCCCAGCCCCCGCUCUCAGGCCCCGGAUCCAGUCCACCAGCACUCGGACCCCGUCGCCCGCCCCCAUCCCGGGUCCCCGGUCCCCGCCCCCGUGCCCGGACCCGUCCCCGGCUCGCCCCCAGUCCGUCCCACGUCUCCCACGCCCGCUCCCCGCCCCGCACCUCU